rnacentral:misc_RNA from 1 species
UCACUCGAAGGCGUGAAAUUCACAGUGGCUAAACGGAGAGAUAGCAGAAAAUUUCGUUCUCUGUAUCAAGAUGAAUGCCAAAACUUGGAUUACCGUACCUCGAGGACGAUAAACGAAGACAUGUAGUUCAUCUGUUGGCGCCUUUGUUGAGUUUCAGGGGGAUGGACAUAUUUUUUAUGAGCUGUGAUUCGUGAAAAACUGCCAAACUGGGGUGUGGAAAGUCCAAGGUUGACUCGCCAGUCCAUAGCAGUAGUAGUAGUGGUAGUAAUAAAGGCAGCAGCAAUAUGGCGGGUCCCAACCUUACUGUGCCGCAGUUUCCUGCGGCAAAUUCCCAACAACGAAUUUCACCGUCCCCGAGUGCAGGUCGCAACAAGGUGGCGCUGAAGCCUGGCAGGUCGCUGAUGGACUGGAUCCGAUUAGGGCGAAGCGGCCAGGACUUGACCGGAGUUGGCGGGAAGGUCUUGGAGGUGUCGUCGGAGGAACUGGCCAAACACAGCAGGCCUGAAGACUCCUGGAUUGCUCUCAGAGGAAAGGUGUAUAACAUCACUCCAUACCUGGAGUUUCAUCCUGGUGGAAUUGAUGAACUGAUGAGGGGAGCCGGGAAGGACGGGACACAACUCUUUGACGAGGUGCAUAAAUGGGUGAAUGCAGAGUCCAUGUUGGAGAAGUGUUUUGUGGGACGCGUCAAAGUGGAACUACCCACAUCAAGGCGAGGAAGUGCAACAUCCCGGGGCAGUACCAGGUCCAACACUCUCAGCCCUAAUGGAUCCAUUAACCCAUUAAACCUCAAGCCACCAUCAGGACCUCAGCCCCCAAGACAUGACUGGUUCCAGAAUGCCAAGUCUGUAACCAUUGUUGUCUACACAAAAUGGCUGGCCAUGAAAGAUGAAUUUGUCACCAUCGACUUAAAUGACAGGAAGCUUAAAAUCAACAUAUUCCUUGAAACUCACACCUAUCAGAUGCAUAUAGAACUUGAAAAAUCCAUCAUACCAGACUAUAACGUUAAGGUACACAAGGACAAUGGGAAGGUAGAGAUCAUUAUGCCAAAGUCGGUGACUGACGAGCAGUGGCAGACAUUGGGGACCAAUCAGAGUGACCAUGGCACCCUGGUAAAGACAGCAGAGAGAGAAGUGUCUUACCGCCAGUGCACGAUUCAGUCUAUACAAGAAGUUAGCCCUGACACGAAGCUGUUAUGUGUGCAGCUACCAGAAGGGACACGGAUGUGUGUGCCCCUCGGAUACCAUGUACAUAUCAAACAUAAUAUUUCAGGGAUGGAACUAGCCCGAAGUUACACUGUAGUUUUUCCUUCUUUGAGAUCCAGUGAGCAAGACAUCCUUGUAGAACAAGGCCGUGUGUUGUACCUGAUGAUAAAGAUCUAUCCAGACGGUGCACUUACACCCUGGAUUGGUGGUCUGUCUGUUGGGUCAUCUCUAGAGGUGAGUGAUAUUGAUGGGAAUUUCCAGUCCACCCAGCUCGAGAAGAGCACUCAGCUAAUCCUGAUGGCAGCAGGCACGGGAUUCACCCCCAUGGUGAGGCUGUUGUACCAGACCCUGGUGGUGGAGCAAGACUCAAAGAGACAUGUAAAACUGAUGUUCUUCAACAAGACGAAAAAGGACAUUCUAUGGAAGGACCAACUAGAUGAACUAGUAGCCAAGAAUGACAGCAGGUUGUCUGUGACGUAUGUCCUGUCUGAGCCCGACUCGGAGUGGGAGGGACCCAAGGGGAGGGUGCGGGAGGAACUCAUGAAGGAGGAGAUGCCCACAAUGGACGACGGAACCAAUCUGCUGGUGUGUGCGUGUGGACCCACACCAUUUACUAAAGAAGUGGUCAGGUUAGCCAAGACUAUGGGAUGCAAAGAUGAACAGCUUCAUGCUUUUCUAGGCUGAGCUACCUCUCUGUCAUGUCACUAGUACAUACUGCUAAAGAUGUCCUGAAAAUGAUCCUCAGAUUUUCCUGUGUGGCUUCAAAUAAAUGUAGGACUCACAGAGUCGUCUUAAUAAAAAGAAUGAACUUUCGCUGUAACAGAUCCUUUGUAAUCCCAAUGAAAUUAAGGAUGUUUGGAAUCCCUGUCUAAGGCCCAAGCAAGUCACUGGCCAGAGAUAUCUGCUAGAUACCAGUAGACGGUUGUCUGGACGUAUUUUCAGAAACUCCAUCUCCUUGAAAGAUCAUGAUAUUCAUCAACAUUUGUGGCUUAAACCUAUCCACAACCUUGUUGUCUCUUGAGGAAGCUGAUUCCAUAGAAGAAAUUAAUCCUAACCAGAUACCUGUGAAAAACACUUGUUAUUUCAUUUCUCCAAAUCCAGAACUUCAUUGAGAUGCCUGAACAGGCAUCAGUACCUCUAUAAAGAAGGAUAUUGCCAACAAACUUUCUGCAUGAUGUCAUACAGAGACUCUCAAUGUGUCCCCUGACAGACUCCACAUCCUCUGAUGUACAACCAAAAGAGUGAAAGAAGAAUUUCAAUUGGCAUCUCCAACGAACUUUUGUACAUUGUCCUAGAUGACCUCUGUUAGUGUCAUCAGAAAAUCCUGAAGCGUUUCCAGACCCUUUUUCUUCUUGCAUUUUCCGCUUUGUUCCCAUAACUUUGUUGUAAAAAACAUCUUCUCUGGAAUGCUGUUUCCCGAAGUCUAGAAGGGUUUCAGAAAAAUGGUAACAGUCAAAUGGUGGUACCGUUUACUCAUGCUGGUUUGAUCUUUGAGGAUACGACAACCACAUACAACCUUUCAACAUGUGUCGAACAACUUUCUUAUUAAUAUGUGACAGUUUGGUAUAGCUGUUGUAUAUCAUUUUGAAUAUUUAUCAACAUUUUCAUAUUUUGUACUAUUUGUACCAAUACAAGGGUACAUGAUGUACCUUGCCCCUGCUAGAUGUCUGACUUUGUCCUACUCUACUGUGAUAACUGCACUAUGAUGUCAUCCUGUUGUUUUCUUGUACCAACUCUGGCACACUUGUUUGCUGUAGGCCCAAACUCGUUAGCCUGUUUUUCCAAGAAAGAAUGACCUUGUCAGAUGUUUUUGUCCCUUUUGGGAAAUGUGUCUGACCUUGGCACCGCCAUCUGCUUGGGAUCUGCUGACCCUAAGCUGAACUCACAUAUGUAUCCCGGUAGAGUAACACCUCACCAUUCCCAGUAAAGAGAGCAUUGUGAAAACAGGUGCCCCGAAGAAUGACCUAUUAAAGAGCAAAAGAACCCAAAGAUUGACCUAUUUUAGAGCCAAAAAUCCCAAAGUAUGACCUGUUUCAGAGCCAAAAAACCCUCUAGUUAUUAAUGAACCCACAGAAGCUGCAGUUUCAGACACUGUGCCUACCAUUUGCUGGGCUGGUUUCUUUAUCAUGCAAUUAGAACUGAUUCUGAAUUUACAGUUCAAAUUCUAGGUAAUACCUCUCCAUCGCUUGAUGAAGUCACUAUUUCAUGUGUGUCUUUCUUUUUCUCGAGAACAGUUGCCCCUGUUAUAGGACCUUUCAUAGUCCUCUAAAUUAUUACUUUGUUGACAUCAGAACCACCCUCAUCAUUUUUCUCAGAAGGUGGUACUUUACCUCAUCAGUUAAGUUCAGAGUGACAUCACCCGAUAUCUGGCAAACUGUUUUUUAACCCCUUGACUAAUUUUAAAGACAGGUGCAAAACCUCAUUAUCGUGGUUCUUAUUGGGAAUGGUUGCACUCUGAUUAUAAUUACCCACCUUCUGCUUUAUUUUUUAUAAGGGAAACAGAGUUAGCUCCCUUCUCAAACCACCACUAAUGCUGUUUUGCCAAGACCAGUGCGGAUGUGACAUUACACAGAGCUCCAAUCACUGUUCCCCCUGCAUCAAGUACUGUGAAACCUGGUUAGCUUCAACUUUAUUAAUUAUCCUUUAGACGAUAUACGGUGAACACCUGUUGGUCCAGAUGCUACUGAUCCCAGUAAAAUCGUCCAGAUUAACACUGUUCCAGGUAAAUUAACCUUGGGUAUAUUGUGAUGUUCCGUUAAUUGUAUACACACGUUGCCAAUGGUAAUUGUGUGGAUUACAGGGUGUCUGGACUGGUCGGGUCACAGCAGAAUCCUGGUAUAAGUCUUAUAUGGACUCAAUGCAGGUUCCUGGUCCCAGCAGAAUCCUGGUAUAAAGUCUUAUAUGGAUUCACUGCAGGUUCCUGGUCCCAGCAGAAUCCUGGUAUAAAGUCUUAUAUGGACUCACUGCAGAUUCCUGGUCCCAGCAGAAUCCUGGUAUAAAGUCUUAUAUGGACUCACUGCAGAUUCCUGGUCCCAGCAGAAUCCUGGUAUAAGUCUUAUAUGGACUCAAUGCAGGUUCCUGGUCCCAGCAGAAUCCUGGUAUAAAGUCUUAUAUGGAUUCACUGCAGGUUCCUGGUCCCAGCAGAAUCCUGGUAUAAAGUCUUAUAUGGACUCACUGCAGAUUCCUGGUCCCAGCAGAAUCCUGGUAUAAAGUCUUAUAUGGACUCACUGCAGAUUCCUGGUCCCAGCAGAAUCCUGGUAUAAGUCUUAUAUGGACUCAAUGCAGGUUCCUGGUCCCAGCAGAAUCCUGGUAUAAAGUCUUAUAUGGAUUCACUGCAGGUUCCUGGUCCCAGCAGAAUCCUGGUAUAAAGUCUUAUAUGGACUCACUGCAGAUUCCUGGUCCCAGCAGAAUCCUGGUAUAAAGUCUUAUAUGGACUCACUGCAGGUUCCUGGUCCCAGCAGAAUCCUGGUAUAAAGUCUUAUAUGGACUCACUGCAGGCUUCCAACCAUAGGAUAACAUGACAUACAUAGUUUAUGUCCUUAAGGUGUUUAUGUUGUGAAGGUUAAUCUUUAUUAACAUCAAAUGUUGAUUUUUCAGCAGACCAAUAUUACCAUAAGUUUAAUUGCAGUUAUUGUCAUUAAGUCGUUAUUAAAAAGUUGUUAGAAACUGCUUCCUAAAUUACAGUUACAGUAAAAUACUCACUUUGAACCUUUAUAAAAAUCUUCCAAGUUCUGUUCCAAAAUGCAAACUUUAUGCAAGGGAAGUAACUCUUUCAGUAAUAGCACUCUCAGAAUGCCCGCCAUGUCAAGACACGGAAUAAGUGACCUCCCUUUGACAUAUCUCCAGCUUGUCACAAUGAGAAUGUCCGUCCUUCACAUUUCCAUUCAAGAUCUCAUAAACCAUUAUUGCUAUUUUCAUGAAAUGUUUUGUACAAGGCAUUUUCUCAUGGAACACCGAUGAAUAACCCUUUUAGCAUGCUUGUGGUCCUUUCUGAAGCACAACUAAAAAAACAUCCAAGUUUUUUCAUGACACUUGCACAGCAGUGUGUGAAAUAGCUGUCUGCCCACUAGCUUGUGGCUA